rnacentral:rRNA from 1 species
AUUGAACGCUGGCGGCAUGCCUAACACAUGCAAGUCGAACGGUAGCACAGUAAAGACUUCGGUCUUUAUGGGUGGCGAGUGGCGGACGGGUGAGUAACGCGUAGGAAUCUGUCCUGGAGAGUGGGAUAACCCGAGGAAACUCGGGCUAAUACCGCAUGAUAUCGAGAGAUCAAAGGCAGGGGACCCUUCGGGGCCUUGCGCUCUAGGUUGAGCCUACGUCGGAUUAGCUAGUUGGUGGGGUAAAGGCCUACCAAGGCGACGAUCCGUAGCUGGGCUGGAUGGAUGACCAGCCACACUGGGCCCGAGACACGACCCAGACUCCUACGGGAGGCAGCAGUGGGGAAUCUUGUACAAUGGGGGAAACCUUGAUCCAGCGAUGCCGCGUGUGUGAAGAAGGCCUUCGGGUUGUAAAUCACUUUAGGUGGGGAAGAAAGGUAAUGAGUGAAUAACUGAUUGCUUUGACGGUACCCGCAGAAUAAGCACCGGCUAACUCUGUGCCAGCCGCCGCAGUAA